UCUGAACCAACAGAAUGUGCUUGAUCAGAGAAAUUUUCGUCUACUUAUCGUUGCUUGGUUCCGUUCUGUGUUAUCGUUUCCGGCGUGAUGACAGAAACAGAUAUUUCGCACCUUAUGGAGAUGUAAACAUUCGCCGAUUCUCUUCGGAAGAGGUCAGAAGAGAACAGGCUAUAUAUGAUGGAUUCUGCGCUUUUGAAAAGUCUCACGUCCAGAUUUGUGAUGAUAUUACAUCUGAUCCAGUGAUAGAUCCCAUGAAUCUAAAACGUAUCGCUUGUUAUUGCGACGAAAACUGCGAUGUUUACGAUGAUUGUUGCAUGGAUCGAGUAUCGCAAAAAGAUAAUUCUCGACGAAGGUGGACAUGCAGAGAAGUGCGUGGGGCUAAUUCCGUGCGUAUACCUAUCUAUGUUCUACAACACUGUCCUGAAGAUUGGACAAGCGAUUUUGUGAAGGAUAUGUGUGAAAAGGAAGCCACAUUCCUUAAACAGCAGAGUUUGCCAUAUAACUACCUCCAGGAUAUACCAGUAUUAAGUUCAAGUACAAGGAUAUUCUACCGGAACAUUUAUUGUGCUAUUUGCAACGAUGAUACAAAUAUUGUGAAAUGGAACAUUCAUGUUUACUGCAAUGGUUUCCUCACUAGCGCAUCCAUAAAUAACAUUGGAAGAGAAAUUAAUUUUUCUGAAGCUGUCUACAAUCCUGAAAGAUUAUUAUUUAAAGACGUUUCUGUAGGCGGAGAGAGGAAAAAUUGUAACAUCGUACCUCGAGAGUUCAUGAACGAUAGCCUCGUAACAAAUUACAGCGCUAGACUUUGCAAAGCUGCUAUUGAUACAUGCGUUUCUGGUUUUGAUAAAACAAUGCAAGAAAAAUGCAAAGCAUAUACGUCUUUUGUUUAUGAGACACGUGGUCCUUCUCGAAGAAGCAAAAUUUAUAAAAAUCUGCAUUGUGCGUUGUGUAACAAUUUGGAUACAGAAAGUAUAACCUGCCUUGAUCCGUAUUAUACUUCCCUUUUCUCGUCUUCUGAAGACUCUGGUAUUCUAACGGUUCUUUUUGAUUUCAAUUUCGUAGGUGGAUGGGAUAAUCAGGUAGGAUACAAAAGCAAAUGCAGCGUAAACGAUGGGAAUAUAUGGGACCCACUUCUAAACCAGUGCCAUAAUUUUACUUGUGGUAAAUUGUACAAAAUGGAAAAUGGCAAAUGUUUGCCGAAGGAUCAAAUCAAUAACAUUUCGGGUCUUAGAAACAGUUGUUUGAAAAUUAUCCUUUCUAAUGACAUGUUCAUUCUCCUGGAAAAUGGUAGUGCGUUCGUAAAUUAUUCCCAAAAAUUACUUUCUCUUGAAGAAUACGAAGAAUACAAAAAGGAUGGUAAAAACGUUCUUCAGAUUGCCAUAUGUGCUGAUGAUAACGAUAAUUUAUUACCCUAUUCAAACGUUCAUUAUUGGCUAUCAGUCGUUACGCUAUCCAUAUCUGUGAUUUGUUUAACAUUGCACCUUGCUGUAUACGCUAUUCUAAAAAAGCUCAGAAACUGCCCGGGAAAAGUUUUGAUGUCUUUAUCAGCAUCUCUUCUUUGUGGACAUCUCUUCCUUCUUUUAGGUCCUCGUUUUGUAGAAGUUUAUUGGUUAUGUUACUUAAACGCUGUAUUCACAUAUUUCGGCUAUCUAUCAGCAUUUCAUUGGAUGUCAGUUAUGGCAUUCGAUAUUCACAAAACCUUUUCGAUGACUCAGUCGCGAAAUAGAAAUAGCAAAACGUUUGUCAAGUAUUCUUUAUGUAGUUGGAUUUCCAGCCUCAGUAUAUUGCUGAUAAGUAUUAUUGUCGAUAACGUGUUAAAAGAGAACAAUGAGUUCAGACCUAGAUAUGGACAACCAAUCUGCUGGUUAAAUCAUAGAAAAGGCCUGUUAGUAUUCUUUGUUGUACCGGUCACAACACUAUUGAUGGCAAAUGUAAUUUUAUUUGCUGUUACAGCUUUCUACGUGCGAAAGAUUUCACGGCAAGCGAGAUCGGUGAGUAAUUUUACAGACAAAACAAGAUACUUUCUGUACUUGAAACUCACUACCAUACUUGGCUUGACUUGGUUUCUUGGUAUUUUUGCCGCUAUUACUAGGAUUGAUGCAGUGUGGUACGCAUUUAUUAUUCUGAACGGACUGCAGGGUGCUUUUAUAUUUAUCGCCUUCACUCUAAAGAAAAGCAUUUUAAAUAUGCUUGUCAUAAAACUGAAAAUUCGAUCAGUUACAUAUCGUAUGGGAAAGCCGAUUGGUCUGAAGAAAGCUAUGUACAGCAGUUUGUCUAAUUUAACUACACUUCAGACUACAAUUACCCCUAAUAUUCCAAAUACAAGUGAACCAGAAAUGUUAAAAGCGGUAAGAAAAAUAAACACUGAUUCAGAGCUUUAACUGAACGUCUACAGAUGUUCAUGGAGUCAAACAAGUAAUUGUAUAAUAAACUGCAUUAUGUAUCUGAACCAAGUUCUUAUACAACCAAUAUGAUUUUAAAUAUAAAAGAUUUCUAAAAUUAAUACUACUUAUUCUACAGAAUAUUUUCUAUGUUAAACUAUCACAUGAAUUAUAGUUGCCCCCAAAUGCAAAAAUUAGUUUUAAAUUAAUAAGCAGACUUUUAAGUGUCAUAUAAAGGAAUAUCUAGUCAUUUUGCUAUCGGAUUUUGUUGCGUUUGUUUCACAUUUUCAUGAAUCACUAGAUCCUAGACUGGAAAUUACUGUAAAUAGCAUACGAAUUGUAAAUAGCAUACGAAUGAACUAAAUAUGCUUCAUGACGCUGAUGUUGAUUUUCAUAUUGUAAAAACAUAAGACAUGUUUUUAUGCAUGAGGUUAUUUAUUUGAACAUUGAUAUUCUACUUAAUGUUUUAGAUUUGGAUUACUUUGAUUGCGUUAGGAAAAUGCAUGUGUUUUUAUAUAAAUAUUAAAACAUUUUCUCUAAAGUUUCGUAAUGUUCAAAGAUUUUACUGGAAAGCUUAAAAUAUGAAGCAGAGCUCUCUUGGUGCAAUUGCCAAAGGCUUGGCUGUGUUCAAGGUCCUGAAACAGGAAAUCAAGUUACAGAACUCAAGAUAUUAUACAACAGUACAAGAAUGACGGAUUUACUAAGGAAUCUGAGUCUACAGAAUAAAGAUAGUCAGAAUUGUUUCAAAUUGACAGAAAAAAAUCCUGAGACGUUCCCGUUUUGUCCUUAUAAACAGUUUGACGAUAUCUGUAACCAUGAAGUCUGUUUUUUCAAUAACAUCUGGAAGUUGGUGCAAAUACUCUCAUAUGUGUAUAUAAGUUAGAAAACAUAUAUGUAGCAAGUACCUUUUCAAAUAAUGAUUCCAUUAUCAUUUUAAAACCGUUUAAUUUUAAACUAAUGGUUAAAUAAAACGGGUAUUUUAUUUUCAAGGGGGGAAAAAACCUUUAAUCCUUUUUUAAGGAAAUGAACAAAAAACUAGCUUAAAAUUCUUUCAUAAAAUAUUAGAAAUAAAUAGUUUAUAAGAUAUUAUAUUUUGCAUAUUAUAAAGGUUGAUGUAAAAU